rnacentral:sRNA from 1 species
AGCCCAACUAUGAAGCCCAACAAGAAGAAACCGCAUCAGAAGAGAUAUCAAUCUUAUUCUUAGCCCAACACAUUACCAAAAAGAAAUCUUAUUCUUAGCCCAACAAGCAGAGAGAGAGAGAGACUCAGACUACCUUAGGGAUCCGUUUUUCAACUUUCCCCCAAUUUCUCUCCAGAAAUCGAAUCGAACUUUGUUCUUCUUCUUCGUCCAAGCUUUAGAAUCGAAAAUCGAUGGCGGAUCAAAGUUGUAAGCCGUUGCAGUUUUUCGUGAGACUACUCGACGGAAAAUCAGUAACCCUAACCUUUUCCUCUCCGAUAGCGUGUGGCGAGCAGAUCAAGCAGCGGAUCUUCGAGCAAACGAAGAUUCCGACGCAUCUACAGAGAUUGAUAAGCGGAGGAU